GGCCAAGCUACUAAGGGCAGACGGUGGAUGCCUAGGCGUCGGCCGGCGAUGAAAGGCGUUGAAGGCUGCGAUAAGCCUCGGGGAGCUGCCAAACAAGCUUUGAUCCGGGGAUUCCUGAAUGGGGAAACCCACAUGGGGUCAUGCCCAUGAACGGCUGGGUGAAUAUAUAGCCCAGUGCGAGCGAACGGGGUGAACUGAAACAUCUUAGUAACCCUAGGAAAAGAAAACAAUAGUGAUUCUCCUAGUAGCGGCGAGCGAACGGGGAAGAGCCCAAACCGUGUUGGUGCCAAGCUUGCGGGCGUUGCCAAUACGGGGUCGUGGGACCUUACCGGAGGGAACCGCAAUUCUCUCGGGAAGUUACAAAGUGCAAGUAUAGUGGAAGGAACCUGGAAAGGACCGCCACAGAGGGUGAAAGCCCCGUACACGAAAUGCUCUGCACCUUCCUGGGUAAGGCACCCAAGUACGGCGGGACACGUGGAACCCCGUCGGAAUUCAUGAGGACCAUCUCAUAAGGCUAAAUACGCGCCGACGACCGAUAGUGAACCAGUACCGUGAGGGAAAGGUGAAAAGCACCCCGGUGAGGGGAGUGAAAUAGUACCUGAAACCGUCUGCUUACAAGCGGUGGGAGGACGUUUGCAUUUCUGAGGAAAUGCAUGUCUGACCGCGUGCCUUUUGCAUAAUGAGUCAGCGAGUUACUCUUUGUGGCAAGGUUAAGCCGUUAGGUGUAGCCGUAGGGAAACCGAGUCUUAACAGGGCGUUUAGUCGCAGGGAGUAGACCCGAAGCCAGGUGAUCUAUCCAUGGUCAGGCUGAGGUCCCGGUAACACGGGAUGGAGGGCCGAACCAAUGUGGGUUGAAAACCGCUUGGAUGAACUGUGGAUAGGAGUGAAAGGCUAAUCAAACCUGGUGAUAGCUGGUUCUCCCCGAAAUAUAUUUAGGUAUAGCCUCGGGAAAUUAAGUGACGGGGGUAGAGCACUGAAUGAGCUAGGGCUCCUAACAGAGUACCAAACUCAAUCAAACUCCGAAUACCGUCAACUUUUACCCCGGGAGUCAGUCGGUGGGAGAUAAGUUCCAUCGUCGAAAGGGAAACAACCCAGAUCGCCAGCUAAGGUCCCGAAGUGUGUGCUAAGUGGGAAAGGAUGUGGAGAUGCGCAGACAACCAGGAGGUUGGCUUAGAAGCAGCCAUCCUUUAAAGAAAGCGUAACAGCUCACUGGUCAAGUGGCUCCGCGCCGAAAAUGUACCGGGGCUCAAGCACACCACCGAAGCUGCGGGAUGGUUUAAUACCAUCGGUAGGGGAGCAUUGGGUAAGGGGUUGAAGCUAGACCGUGAGGACUAGUGGACCCAUCCCAAGAGCGUAUGCUGACAUGAGUAGCGAAAAAGCGGGUGAGAAACCCGCUCGCCGUAAGCCUAAGGUUUCCUGAGUAAAGCUAAUCUUCUCAGGGUUAGUCGGUCCCUAAGCCGAGGCCGAAAGGCGUAGGUAAUGGGAAACGGGUUAAUAUUCCCGUACCACUAACGUGCGUUUGAGCGAAGGAGGGACGCAGAAGGGUAGGUGAUCCGCCGGCUGGAAGUGGCGGUUCAAGCCUGUAGGCGGAGGAAAUAGGCAAAUCCGUUUCCUCAUUAACGCUGAGAGGUGAUGACGAGAGGUUUACCUCGCAAAGUCACUGAGCCCAUGCUGCCAAGAAAAUCUUCUAGCGAGCAUUGUUGGUGACCGUACCGCAAACCGACACAGGUAGGCAGGGAGAGCAUCCCAAGGCGCUUGAGAGAACUCUGGCUAAGGAACUCGGCAAAAUGACACCGUAACUUCGGGAGAAGGUGUGCCCUUUUUGGUGACGGUAUUUACUAUCCGAGCUGAAGGGGGUCGCAGAGAAUUGGGGGUAGCGACUGUUUACUAAAAACAUAGGACUCUGCUAAGUCGCAAGACGACGUAUAGGGUCUGACGCCUGCCCGGUGCCGGAAGGUUAAGGGGAGAGGUUAUCUAGGUUCGCCUGGAGAAGCUUUGAACCGAAGCCCCGGUAAACGGCGGCCGUAACUAUAACGGUCCUAAGGUAGCGAAAUUCCUUGUCGGGUAAGUUCCGACCUGCACGAAUGGCGUAACGACUUCCCCACUGUCUCAGCCAGGGACUCAGCGAAAUUGUAGUGGCGGUGAAGAUGCCGUCUACCCGCAGCAAGACGGAAAGACCCCGUGCACCUUUACUACAGCUUGACAUUGGUUCUUGGGCUAGUAUGUGUAGGAUAGGUGGGAGGCUUUGAAGCUGGGACGCUAGUCUCGGUGGAGCCAACCUUGAAAUACCACCCUUGCUAUCUUAGGAAUCUAACCCAGACCCGUAAUCCGGGUCGGGAACAGUGUCUGGUGGGUAGUUUGACUGGGGCGGUCGCCUCCAAAAGAGUAACGGAGGCGCGCGAAGGUUCCCUCAGGCUGAUUGGAAACCAGCCGUAGAGUGUAAAGGCAUAAGGGAGCUUGACUGCGAGACCGACAGGUCGAGCAGGUACGAAAGUAGGUCUUAGUGAUCCGGUGGUUCCGCAUGGAAGGGCCAUCGCUCAACGGAUAAAAGGUACGCCGGGGAUAACAGGCUUAUCUCCCCCAAGAGUUCACAUCGACGGGGAGGUUUGGCACCUCGAUGUCGGCUCAUCACAUCCUGGGGCUGUAGCAGGUCCCAAGGGUUCGGCUGUUCGCCGAUUAAAGUGGUACGCGAGCUGGGUUCAGAACGUCGUGAGACAGUUCGGUCCCUAUCCUCCGUGGGCGUAGGAGAAUUGAAGAGGGUCUGCCCCUAGUACGAGAGGACCGGGGUGGACGAUCCUAUGGUGUUCCUGUUGUCACGCCAGUGGCACUGCAGGGUAGCUAUGUUCGGAUAGGAUAACCGCUGAAAGCAUCUAAGCGGGAAGCCAGCCUC
rnacentral:rRNA from 1 species